rnacentral:rRNA from 1 species
CUCCAACCCAUUGUGACCUUACCUAUGUUCUGUUGCCUCGGCGGCGUGGUCAGCGCCCCUCUGAAAAGAGGACGAUGCCCUCCCGCCGGCAGCACCAAACUCUUUGAAUUUUACAGCGGAUUACAGUUCUGAUUUGAAAACAAAAAAACAAGUUAAAACUUUCAACAACGGAUCUCUUGGUUCUGGCAUCGAUGAAGAACGCAGCGAAAUGCGAUAAGUAAUGUGAAUUGCAGAAUUCAGUGAAUCAUCGAAUCUUUGAACGCACAUUGCGCCCGGCAGUAAUCUGCCGGGCAUGCCUGUCCGAGCGUCAUUUCAACCCUCGAACCUCCGUUUCCUCAGGGAAGCUCAGGGUCGGUGUUGGGGCGCUACGGCGAGUCUUCGCGACCCUCCGUAGGCCCUGAAAUACAGUGGCGGUCCCGCCGCGGUUGCCUUCUGCGUAGUAAGUCUCUUUUGCAAGCUCGCAUUGGGUCCCGGCGGAGGCCUGCCGUCAAACCACCUAUAACUCCAGAUGGUUUGACCUCGGAUCAGGUAGGGUUACCCGCUGAACUUAAGCAUAUCAAUAAGCGGAGGAAAAGAAACCU